rnacentral:lncRNA from 1 species
CAAUGGGGCGCUGCGGAGGGAGGCACGGCUGCAGCUCCCGGCUGGGGAGGGGGCGGGGAGGGGCCCCGGCGGCCUCGAGCUCCUUCCCCCUCCUCCUCCCCAGCUGGGCUCUCCCCAGGGGAAGCCCCCACCCCGAGAAAGUCACCCCCCAGGCCCGGGCGAGCCAGGUGGGAGUGCCCGGAGGGAGGGGAAGGGGGCACCGCUAGGGGGCGGCGCGGACCCUGGGGCUCAGAGGGGUCCUCCGAAGCUGUAGAAAGCCGGGAAACCUGGGCAGCGCCUGGGCCUUGGGCCUGCGGUGCAGGGGGCGCCGGAAGGGGGUGGGGGUCUGAAAAGGAGACAUCCGGGGAAGAGGGUCGCAGGCUUUGGGCGGUCUGGGAUUUGAGGGAGCCUAUGGGGCAAGGAGAUGGGGACGGAGGGCCCUUUGAGCGAAGAGAGCACAGGAGGGGGUCCCAGGAGAGCUGGGUGUGGGGGGAGAGCGAGCCUGGGGAAGGCGGAGCAGGCGCUGGAGAGGCACUUGGAGGUGUGAGGCUGGCGCCUGGCAGCCCGGAGGGGACAGGGGAGGAGAAGUUGGGAGAGGUCACUGGGGUGCCCGGCUCUGCACACCCCCCACCAAGGCUGGGACACCAAGCAAGAGGGACGUCAGAAGUGGGCACAAAGAAACCCAUAGGGGCUCAGUAUCUUUCCAAGGGCCGGAAAUGGGCCAGAAACGUCACUGUGUCUUCACCCUGCUCCUUCAGGUGAGGCCCUGUGGGCAGCCAAGGGGCAAAGAGGGGGCUCAAGAAGGAAGAAAAGGGGACAAGGGAGCCUUCUGAUCCCCAUGGUCUGAAUCUCAGCCUGGGGGGUGGCAGGUGGGGCCGCCUGAGAGGUCAAAAUUUGGCAGGCAUGGCCAGAGAGCCGUGGAAAAGAUGAGGAAGCAGCAGAGGCUCACUCAUGCCUGCACCUGUCCUCAGGGCCACCCUGUCCCUAUAUUCCAUUCAGCUUUCCAACACCACCCCUGAGCUGUACUAGGUGUUGAACUAAGGGGCUUUGCCCUGAGCUACAUCCCCAGUGCUUAAAAUUUUUAAUUUAGCUUAUCUUGCUGUUACCAAGGCUAGGUUUGAACUUGCUAUCUUCCUGCCUCAGCCUCCUGCUUCAGCCUCCUUUUCUUUAGGAUCAGGUUUCAGAGGUUAACCCAAACAUCAAAUUUCUCUGCAUUGGGUAUAAAAAAG